rnacentral:rRNA from 1 species
GACGAACGCUGGCGGCGUGCCUAAUACAUGCAAGUUGAGCGAUGAAGAUUGGUGCUUGCACCAAUUUGAAGAGCAGCGAACGGGUGAGUAACGCGUGGGGAAUCUGCCUUUGAGCGGGGGACAACAUUUGGAAACGAAUGCUAAUACCGCAUAACAACUUUAAACAUAAGUUUUAAGCUUGAAAGAUGCAAUUGCAUCACUCAAAGAUGAUCCCGCGUUGUAUUAGCUAGUUGGUGAGGUAAAGGCUCACCAAGGCGAGGAUACAUAGCCGACCUGGGAGGGUGAUAGGCGACAUGGGGAGGGGGACACGGCCCAAACGCCUGCGGGAGGGAGCAGUAGGGAACCGUCGGCAAUGGAGGAAAGUCUGACCGAGCGAGGCCGCGUGAGUGAAGAAGGUGCUCGGAUCGGAAAACUCUGUUGGUAGAGAAGAACGUUGGUGGGAGUGGAAAGCUCAUCAAGUGACGGUAACUACACAGAAAGGGACGGCUAACUACGUG